rnacentral:lncRNA from 1 species
CCCCAUAGAAACCCAUAGGGACACACUGGGAGCCAUAGGGACACGUGGAGACUAUAGGGACCCCAUAGAGACCCAUAGGGACCCCAAAGGGACCGCAUUUGGAGCCAUAGGGACCCCAUAGAGACCCCAUAGGGACCCACAGAGACCCCAUAGGGACCCAUAGAGACCCCAUAGAGUGACCCCGGGAGACCCAUAGGGCCCCAUAAUGACCCACACUGCCCCAUAGAGACCCCCUAAAGCUGAAUGGGACCUCAUCGGGACCCCCAAAUGUCAACGGGAGCCCCCAAAAUCCCAAUAAAAAACCCCAAAAAGUCCUUGGGAGGAUUUGAUGUC